ACACCACCACAGCCCUUCCUUUACUUCCUCCUCUUUCUACAAACCCAGCUUUCCUUUCUCCCUCUCAGCAUUUCCUCGUCCCAGAACCGGGCUGGCCCAGCUCCCUGACUCCGCCAACCACACCACCACAUCCAUUAAUCCACCGGAACAGGGUGGUACCAUAGAGCUCCCACUCUUCUCUCCUUCCAUUUUUGCUACCACAGAUGACCCUUCUCCUCUCCAG
rnacentral:misc_RNA from 1 species